GCCAAUGUGGCUCAAUGGUAGAGCAUUGCUUUCCUAUUCUUCAUAAAAAAGAAGUGGCUAGGCAAAGGUUGUGGGUUCGAGCCCCAUCAUUGGUU